rnacentral:rRNA from 1 species
UAGGGAAUCUUCGGCAAUGGACGGAAGUCUGACCGAGCAACGCCGCGUGAGUGAAGAAGGUUUUCGAAUCGUAAAGCUCUGUUGUAAGAGAAGAACGAGUGUGAGAGUGGAAAGUUCACACUGUGACGGUAUCUUACCAGAAAGGGACGGCUAACUACGUGCCAGCAGCCGCGGUAAUACGUAGGUCCCGAGCGUUGUCCGGAUUUAUUGGGCGUAAAGCGAGCGCAGGCGGUUAGAUAAGUCUGAAGUUAAAGGCUGUGGCUUAACCAUAGUACGCUUUGGAAACUGUUUAACUUGAGUGCAAGAGGGGAGAGUGGAAUUCCAUGUGUAGCGGUGAAAUGCGUAGAUAUAUGGAGGAACACCGGUGGCGAAAGCGGCUCUCUGGCUUGUAACUGACGCUGAGGCUCGAAAGCGUGGGGAGCAAACAGGAUUAGAUACCCUGGUAGUCCACGCCGUAAACGAUGAGUGCUAGGUGUUAGACCCUUUCCGGGGUUUAGUGCCGCAGCUAACGCAUUAAGCACUCCGCCUGGGGAGUACGACCGCAAGGUUG